UACGGAAGGUCCGGGCGUUAUCCGGAUUUAUUGGGUUUAAAGGGAGCGCAGGCUGAUUAUUAAGCGUGACGUGAAAUGUAGAUGCUCAACAUCUGAACUGCGUCGCGAACUGGGCUUCUUGAGUGAGUACGACGUCAGCGGAAUUCGUGGUGUAGCGGUGAAAUGCUUAGAUAUCACGAAGAACCCCGAUUGCGAAGGCAGCUGACGAGUCCUUUACUGACGCUAAAGCUCGAAGGUGUGGGUAUCGAAC
rnacentral:rRNA from 1 species